rnacentral:lncRNA from 10 species
GCACAAGCAAUCGUCCUACCUCAUCCUCCCAGGUAGCUGGGACUAUAGGCACGUGCCAUCAUGCCUGGCUAAUCUUUUGAUUUUUUUUAGAGAUGUGGUCUCACUGUGUUGCGCAGGCUGGUCUGAAACGCCUGGCCUCAAGAGAUCCUCCUACCUUGGCCUCCCAAAGUGCUGGGAUUACAGGUGAGAGCUGCCCUGCCCAGCCUUUUUUGUUCUUUGUAAAGCUCUUCAGUUCCUGCUCCUUACCCGCUGGGCCCUGCUCUUUCUGCUUUGGAGCAGUUCUUCCUUCAGCAGGGAGCCAGUGUUCUGUGGGUUGGGGGGUCUCUGCCAGCAGCCAGUUUCAGCCCUGUCUUGCAGGUGGCCUUCGGAGGGACAGGUUGCAGCCCAGGCCCGCCCCCCUCCUUCCUGGAGUGUCUCACAGACUCAGGGGACACUGGCCCUCCAGGCCCUGCUUCCCCCAAGGUUUCCAUCCAUCGCCUCUUGAUUCUUGGUAAUCGGGAGCCGAUGGAUGCAACUCAUCUCGGUUUACACUGAGUGAGACAGGCGCUGUGGGCACAGCCAAGUCUGCGGGACUCAGUCAGGUGUGAGCCUGGAUGGCCCCGGACAAGGAAGCCUGUCCUCUUGCUGGGAAAUUUCCGUUAAGAUCGGGCCACUUCCCCUGCUUCCUAACGGUUGAGUCUGUUUGCUCUGGGCCUUUUAAGCCCAGCGUGAUCCCUCUGAGUCCCUGCGGUGCAUUUGCGCCAUCUCCACGCUUCCUGUUGAGCCCCAGCCCAGGCUUGGUGCGGGCAGUGCUGCACUGCACUCUCCUGGUUGCCUCCUGAGCACCUCCACCCGCUUCCCCACCAGGCGUGGCUGUGUUUUCACCCCCAGUGUCCAUCUGGCACCCUUCUCGAUUGCCAGGUAGUUACGGUCUGUGUGGGCAACACCUGAGGGACCCAACCAAACCAAGGUCCAGGACACACUUCCGGGCAGGGGUACCGCCUCUGGUUAGCUGCUCACUCCCCAGCCCAAAUCUUCCGCUGAUGACUUCUGGGGUCAGAGGCCACCUAAGGGUCUAGAAAACAGUCUCCUCCAGUUGGCUACCUGCCUACGUUGGGGUUACGGCCCAAUAAACCCACAGCCAAGCUGAAAAUCCUAAGUGUGCGUCUUGCGCUUCCGACACAGCCAGGGCAUCGCUGGAUGCGCAGAGGCAGGGCUGGACACAUUCUGGUGCACCUGGGCCAGGAACACACCAGCGCCUCCUUGUUCUUCGCAGGGAAGUGGAAUCCAAGCAGGGGCCCAGAUGCAGGCAGGCAUCUCCUGGGAACAAGAGCCCCAGAAUCCACCCCGGGGCCCCACUUCCAGGGUGGUUGCCUGGGGCGUCUGGUCAGAGCCAGACCAGAACUGAGCAGGAGCUUCCGGGCAUCUGUGUGUGGGAAGGGAGAGGCAAGUCC